UACGGGGGGGGCAAGCGUUGUUCGGAAUCACUGGGCGUAAAGCGCACGUAGGCGGAUCUUUAAGUCAGGGGUGAAAUCCCGAGGCUCAACCUCGGAACUGCCUUUGAUACUGGGGAUCUCGAGUCCGGGAGAGGUGAGUGGAACUGCGAGUGUAGAGGUGAAAUUCGUAGAUAUUCGCAAGAACACCAGUGGCGAAGGCGGCUCACUGGCCCGAUACUGACGCUGAGGCACGAAAGCGUGGGGAGCAAACAGG
rnacentral:rRNA from 1 species